rnacentral:sRNA from 12 species
GAACAAUGUAUAAACUAUGACCAACUCAGUGCAGAGGGUACACACUGCUGAGAUGGGCGAUUAAGGAAUGGCGAAGAGGGAUACCUUUAGCAUAUGCCUUUUGACCGUAGGCGACUCGGUCUUGAAGAGAUUAAUUUCUCAACAAUCGUUUAGUGCAAUAAUUGAAUAGGAAUAAGACAGUAAGUGAAAGGGCGAGACAAUAGACGCUCUCUGUGAGAGAAUAACCCUAGAUGGUCGGCUGAUGUGGUAGUCAGUGACGGACAAAGGGAAUACCAAUAACUCGUUUAGCAGUGAUGCUGGGUUUCCAGCUAUAACUUUUGCUUAUGUACCAGUAGCCGAAUCUGCUAUAGAUAAAGAAAAUAAUGGAGCAGAACUCCUUUUAAUUUAAAUUUUUCUGAAAGUCGGUGAAAGUUGUGGGUCACAGUCCCAUAUGGUUUUAGGUCAAUGCUUCGGUAUUGAUGGUAUAAGAAGCCUAGGAGUCGCUCUCCUUUGCUCAGACUUGUAUCACUAUUAGUCUAAUAAUUUGGUUCAAUUGUUUGUAAGGGGAAACCUUGGUCGUGAUUUAUAGUUCUU